GCAAAAUGAAGCCAAUGGAAGGUGUAGAAGUUGGCAACCAAAACACUGAUGCAAGUAAUCUUGGUGAUGGGUUCCAAGAUCAGACAUUAUUGGCCAAUUUUCAAACAAGUUAUUCUAUAAUCACAUAUUUCAAGAUAAUUACCCAGCACCAACAUUCUUGUCACAUGGAGAAGCUUCAACCUCAAAUGUCCAGAAUAAUCAUGUUGAAAAUACAAGUACAUGCAACCCAUACUUCCAAGGAGCUUGGAACAAGUUGGUCCCCAAACCCAAAUGAGGCAAAAUUAAUAUUGGUCAUAAAAUCAAAACCAAAAUGUAUAUGACCAAUAAGAUCAUCCAAAGCUAUUUUCUCUUCUCUUAUAAAAAAAAAUCGUUUUUUAAAUCAAAAUCGAGUCCUGACAAGUCUAUAAGAUUAAAUGUUAUGUAUGUGUCAACCUAGUUACUAAAAUAAUUGCUUUUGGUUCAGGAUAUGAUGAGAGUUCUAUGCAUAUGUUAAUCUAGUUGAUAUAUCAUGGUGCAUCUAUUGAUCUUUUUAUUAUUUAGUAUCUUGUUAAAAAAAAAAAAAAAAAAAA